GACCGAACGCUGGCGGCAUGCCUACCACAUGCAAGUCGAACGAGACCUUCGGGUCUAGUGGCGCACGGGUGCGUAACGCGUGGGAACCUGCCCUUAGGUUCGGAAUAACUCCCCGAAAGGGGUGCUAAUACCGGAUAAUGUCUUCGGACCAAAGAUUUAUCGCCUUUGGAUGGGCCCGCGUUGGAUUAGCUAGUUGGUAGGGUAAAAGCCUACCAAGGCGACGAUCCAUAGCUGGUCUGAGAGGAUGAUCAGCCACACUGGGACUGAGACACGGCCCAGACUCCUACGGGAGGCAGCAGUGGGGAAUAUUGGACAAUGGGCGAAAGCCUGAUCCAGCAAUGCCGCGUGAGUGAUGAAGGCCUUAGGGUUGUAAAGCUCUUUUACCCGGGAUGAUAAUGACAGUACCGGGAGAAUAAGCUCCGGCUAACUCCGUG
rnacentral:rRNA from 1 species